GAUGAACGCUGGCGGCGUGCCUAAUACAUGCAAGUCGAGCGAACAGAUAAGGAGCUUGCUCCUUUGACGUUAGCGGCGGACGGGUGAGUAACACGUGGGUAACCUACCUAUAAGACUGGGAUAACUUCGGGAAACCGGAGCUAAUACCGGAUAACAUUUGGAACCGCAUGGCUCUAAAGUGAAAGAUGGUUUUGCUAUCACUUAUAGAUGGACCCGCGCCGUAUUAGCUAGUUGGUAAGGUAACGGCUUACCAAGGCGACGAUACGUAGCCGACCUGAGAGGGUGAUCGGCCACACUGGAACUGAGACACGGUCCAGACUCCUACGGGAGGCAGCAGUAGGGAAUCUUCCGCAAUGGGCGAAAGCCUGACGGAGCAACGCCGCGUGAGUGAUGAAGGGUUUCGGCUCGUAAAACUCUGUUAUUAGGGAAGAACAAAUGUGUAAGUAACUGUGCACGUCUUGACGGUACCUAAUCAGAAAGCCACGGCUAACUACGUG
rnacentral:rRNA from 1 species